UACGAAGGGUGCAAACGUUGCUCGGAAUUAUUGGGCGUAAAGCGCACGUAGGCGGUUUGGAAAGUCCCAUGUGAAAUCCCACAGCUUAACUGUGGAAGUGCAUGGGAAACCUCCAGACUUGAGUACGAAAGAGGAUCGCGGAACUCCUGGUGAAGCGGUGAAAUGCGUAGAUAUCAGGAGGAACGCCGGAGGCGAAAGCGAGUGACUGGCGCGUUCCUGACGCUGAGGUGCGAAAGCUAGGGGAGCAAACAGG
rnacentral:rRNA from 1 species